CUGCAGGUGCCCUCCACCACGCCCAGCUAAUUUUUGUAUUUUUAGUAGAGACAGAGUUUCAGCAUGUUGGCCAGGCUGGUCUCGAACUCCUGACCUCAAGUGACCGGCCUGCCUCGCCCUCCCAAAGUGCUGGGAUUACAGAUAUCCAGCUCACUCUCCUCACCACACUUGUGCUCAUGUUGUUCCCUCGGCCUCAAAUGCACCAACAGACAUGUAAUAGGCACCCCUUAUAUGCCAAGCAUGAUGUCAGGAGCUGGGAAUACAGGGUGAAUCAGCUAAGCCCUGCUUCCAAGAGCGGCAUGCUGUUAAAGGGGAAAGACGCUUAUGUGCUCCCAGGACAAGGGGAUGGAAGCCAGCGAGAAGCAGAGUGAAGUCCUGAAGCUGAGCGUUGUAAUGUCUCGGUAGACCUGUGGGAAAGCUGGCUGCAGCCUCAGGAUGGAGGUCUGGAAGACAGAAGGUACACAAGGGGCCCCUCUCCAUCCACUCACCAGGGCUUGUUGCUUCUGGGCUUCCUCCUGCCAGAGGCUCCAGAUCUUCACUGCCAUCUGGGUGGGAGGUCAGGUUGGGUCUUGGGGGGUCUGCAGGGAGAGAAAAGCAUUGUCACCCAACCAGGACAUGGAGGACCAUCCAGACACUCAGUGAGAACCUCCUGGCUCUCCUGACUUUUCUAUGCUUUAUCCUGCACGUGGCUCCUGUGUGUGGACGAGGUGCUGCACUGGGCGACUCUGGGGAUGCCUGUCCUGUAGGGUUCCCAGUCCAGUGAUGGAGAGGGAGCCAAACAAUCACAAUCCAGGGUGAUCAAAGCUGUGACAGCUGGGGCUGGGGAUACAAAGGACUUGUGACAGCUCUUUAAUGGGCAGGAUCUGCCAGGUGGAGAGGCACGUACUUCCUUAGCCAUUCAUGAUUUAUUCACUGACCCAUGGGCCACACAUUGCCUGAGGCCUCCAUGGGCCAGGGACAGAAAAUGUCAGGGUCCCAGAGCCCAAGCAGUCCUGAGCCAUACCCUCCACAAGCUUCCCCAAGGAAGGGAACAGAGUCACCAUCCAGGAGGGAUACAGGCCACAGCGGAGAAAACGCCACUGCUGUCUUUGAAGACUGAGAAGCCAUGAGUCAAGCAAUACAGGUGACCUCCAGAAGCUGGCAACGGGCCAGGAAGGACUAUCUACGUGCUGGAGCCUCCAGAAGGAACAUGGUGGCCCUGCCAACACCUCGCCUCCAGCCCAGCCACAUGCAUUUGGAACUCCUGGCCUCCAGGACUGUAACAUAAUAAAAGUGUGCUGGUGGAAGCCACUGUGUUUGUGGUAUGUGUAACAGCAGCAAUAGGAAACGGAUACACUACUCAUACAUUCACACAAAUGGGUGAAGGGGCAGUCGAGGUAAACACACUUCUUACUGUGGGCUGUAGUUUAAAAAUUCAAAAAGACACUGAGGUAGGACCUCCCACGAGAUGCUUCUUAGCACACACUGGCCAGUCUGGAGAAAGUCUGCCCCAAUGUGAUGAGAUUCUAUCAAAUGAUAGUUUCCACCGUGUGUUAUCUUUUACUUCUUUCAUCUUUUGGAGUAAAUUAUUUUUCUGGUUCUUCAAAAAGAAAGAACUGAGGCAACAGAGAGGGAAAAUGAGUUAAUCAGGUGACACUGAUGGGGAGCUGGGGUGAUAUGGCCUUGGAGCUGCACAGACCUUAGCUGGAGUCUGGGCCCUGCUGCUGUCUCACUGUGUGACACUGGUGUGCAGAAGAGGGCGACACAGCAGGCUGGCUGCUCUCCUGGGAAAAGCCUGCUGGCAAGGCUGGAUUUCAGGGGGGUACCCCGUGUCUCCAGAACUGAAGAGACACGCUCCCUGGACCUAAACUGUGCAAACACGGUGGCUUACACCUGCUUUCCUUCUGGGGGGCUGGAAUUUUGGAAUGUGCCAGGCAGAGGAGCCCACAUGACCAGCCCCCAGUAAAAACCCUGGCACUGAGUCUCUGAUGAGCUUCCCUGGUGGACAGCAUUUCACACGCGAUAUCACAUUCUACAGUAUUGCUGGGGGAAUUAAGCAUGUCCCAUGUGACUCCCCUGAGAGAAUUCUGGAAGCUUGUGCCUGGCUUCCUUGGACUUUGCCCCAUGUACCUCCUCCCUUUGCUGACUGUGCUCUGAAUCUUUUCACUGUAGUAAGUCAUAGCCAUGAGUCUGACUACAGGAUGAGUCCUGGGAAUCCUAGCCAAUCACUGAAUCUGUGGGUGCUCCUGGGGACACUGACACAGCUGGGAAGGUGACUGCCACUCUUUUAACCUCAGUUUCAGACCAAUCGGCAAAAGAGGGACAACCCAGCUUCUUCAUGGGGUGACUGGAGGAUUGAACAAGCAAGUCCUAAGAGCUGCUACUCAAUCAUUCAUUAGUUUAGAGCUGUCUGCUGGGCCCUAGAGCAGGUACUGUUCGUUCCAAACACUGGGGACACGCCCUGUCCUCACACAGCUCCCGCUCUGAAUGAUACAAUGGUAGUUAGAACGUGAGGGAGCGACAGACAAGAUGAGUAGGAGAGGAGGUAUGGAGUUCUAACAGGGUCCCAGGUUAAACUUUAAAAAUGUAAGCCCUGAGAGCCGCUUAGGCAGAGGGGAGGGCAACUGGAAGACUUUGAAGUAUCAGCUUGAAGAAUGACUGACUACAAGUAGGAAAGUGGUGAAGACAAGGCUGGGGAGGCAGAUAGGGGCCAGAGCAGGGUUUCCCAGGCUUAGCACUACUGACACUGGCGUGGGCCAAUCCUUGGUUGUGGGGCUGUGCUGUGCACUGUAGGAUGUGUGGCAGCCUCCCUUGGUUCCACCAGCUAGAUGCUAGCGGCACGCUGCGCUGGCCCAAGGAGUAACAAUCAAAAAUGUCUCCACACAUUGCCAAUGUCUCCUCGGCCAGCUGAGAACUGCUGGGCUAGGUCAUGCUGAUUCUGAGGAGCCCAGGAGCCAGGACUUCACCCUGUGGGUGGUAGAGAGCAUGGGUGAUCACCAAGCAGGGCAGUGAGUAGGCCCCUGGGGACAGGCAACACUCACCCAGCAGGAAGAGGUCCUGGCAAUUGUCCAACGCUGUGUCCCAGAACGUGUCCCCCUGUUCCAGCCCGAGCUGCUCCCAGUCUCCCAAGGUGAAGUCCAUGCCGACAUCCUUGAGGGUCACAAAUUCCUGAAACACAGUACACUAUUGGUCACUCAGAGGCUGGGGUCAGGGAGGAGCCCAACAGCUCACUCAGGGCACUCCCAGCCCUCAAUCUGCCAGGGCUUUGGCAAAAACCAUCCCAUCCUCAGCCUCACAAGAAUCUUGAGAUGUAAGAGACUGGAAACCCCUGUAUUUUGUAGGCAAAGAAAAGGACCUUGACUUUGACCAGGGGACAGGAUGUCAACCGAAGUUAACACAGGUGGGACUGAACCCAGGUCUGCCUGAUCCUAAAAAUCUAUUUUACGCUUUUGCUUUAAGUGUUCAUUCAAGACUUAUUUUGUAAACUUUCAAACAUACAUACAAGUAGAGAUGUAUAUAAUUAACACCCAUGAACUCAUCACCCAGGGGUCAUCUGAUUUCACCUGUGAAUACUUCAGUAUGAACAGUAACUCCUUAAUCACUGAACACCUAGACCACAUUCAAAAUCUGUAUACAGAUUAGUCUGACAUCUCAGUGGUGUGUCUUUAUAGCUAGCUCGUCUCAAUCAGAAUCCAGGGGGCCCAUACCCUGUAACUGAUGUG
rnacentral:lncRNA from 1 species